CAGCAGCCGCGGUAAUACGAAGGGGGCUAGCGUUGUUCGGAAUUACUGGGCGUAAAGGGCGCGUAGGCGGCCAUUCAAGUUAGAUGUGAAAGCCCUGGGCUCAACCUAGGAAUUGCAUUUGAUACUGUUUGGCUUGAGUUCGGGAGAGGUGAGUGGAAUUCCCAGUGUAGAGGUGAAAUUCGUAGAUAUUGGGAAGAACACCAGUGGCGAAGGCGGCUCACUGGACCGACACUGACGCUGAGGCGCGAAAGCGUGGGGAGCAAACAGGAUUAGAUACCCGGGUAGUCCCUGUCUCUUAUAC
rnacentral:rRNA from 1 species